CCUACGGGAGGCAGCAGUGGGGAAUAUUGCACGAUGGGCGCAAGCCUGAUGCAGCCAUGCCGCGUGUAUGAAGAAGGCCUUCGGGUUGUAAAGUACUUUCAGCGGGGAGGAAGGCGAUAAGGUUAAUAACCUUGUCGAUUGACGUUACCCGCAGAAGAAGCACCGGCUAACUCCGUGCCAGCAGCCGCGGUAAUACGGAGGGUGCAAGCGUUAAUCGGAGUUACUGGGCGUAAAGCGCACGCAGGCGGUCUGUCAAGUCGGAUGCGAAAUCCCCGGGCUCAACCUGGGAACUGCAUUCGAAACUGGCAGGCUAGAGUCUUGUAGAGGGGGGUAGAAUUCCAGGUGUAGCGGUGAAAUGCGUAGAGAUCUGGAGGAAUACCGGUGGCGAAGGCGGCCCCCUGGACAAAGACUGACGCUCAGGUGCGAAAGCGUGGAGAGCAAACAGGAUUAGAUACCCCUGGUAGUC
rnacentral:rRNA from 1 species